UUUUUUUUUUUUUUUUUUAAAAAUCUUUAGUGGACAGGCAUAUCUUUCCAUGGCUUGCUUGUUUGCAUAAAGCAUGUUAAAGUGUUUGUUAUCUUUCAAGAAGAUGUUUAGCAACAUUAAUAUUCAACAUAGUCCUUUGACUGAUUUAGUUUGUUUAGAAUUAAGUCACUGCCAAUUUUAAAUGCAUUUGUGUCAGUGGAAACAAACAACAAUUUUUCUUUAAUUAAAUGAAAUUUAAUAUUUUCAAAAGUACUUGAAAAUUUUAGUCAGAUCAUCUACUGAAAUCUGAGACACAGAUAUAAGUCAACUACUGCAUAAAGCAACUGCUUGAAUGUCUUAUAAUUCUGUAUGCAGGUAUAGUUAGGGCAUGUUUUGGUUCUCUGAGAAUUUGAUUUGAAUGCAAUUCUUAGAAUAGGAUUCUGUUUUCUUGCAAGGAAGCCAAUAUUUUUUUAUUAUAUUUUUUAUUUUUGAAUAAUUUGAAUCUAUAUUGAAAUGGGAUCUACUUUUAGGCAGUGUUAUUAAGGCGAAAGGCGGCAUUAAGGCGAUAAGAUAUUCUAUGGCCUUAGGCGAGAGG
rnacentral:misc_RNA from 1 species